GAUGAACGCUGGCGGCGUGCUUAACACAUGCAAGUCGAACGGAAAGGCUCCUGCUUGCAGGGGUACUCGAGUGGCGAACGGGUGAGUAACACGUGGGUGAUCUGCACUGCACUUCGGGAUAAGCCUGGGAAACUGGGUCUAAUACCGGAUAGGACGAUGGUUUGGAUGCCAUUGUGUAAAGUUUUUCGGUGUGGGAUGAGCUCGCGGCCUAUCAGCUUGUUGGUGGGGUAGUGGCCUACGAAGGCGUCGACGGGUAGCCGGCCUGAGAGGGUGUACGGCCACAUUGGGACUGAGAUACGGCCCAGACUCCUACGGGAGGCAGCAGUGGGGAAUAUUGCACAAUGGGCGCAAGCCUGAUGCAGCGACGCCGCGUGGGGGAUGACGGCCUUCGGGUUGUAAACUCCUUUCGUCAGGGACGAAGCGAAAGUGACGGUACCUGGAUAAGAAGCACCGGCUAACUACGUG
rnacentral:rRNA from 1 species